CCCUUAGAUGUUCUGGGCCGCACGCGCGCUACACUGAUGCAUUCAACAAGCCUAGCCUUGACCGAGAGGUCCGGGUAAUCUUUGAAACUGCAUCGUGAUGGGGCUAGAUUAUUACAAUUAUUAAUCUUCAACGAGGAAUGCCUAGUAAGCGUGAUUCAUCAAAUCGCGUUGAUUACGUCCCUGCCCUUUGUACACACCGCCCGUCGCUCCUACCGAUUGAAUGUGUUGGUGAGGAGCUCGGAUUGGCAGCAGUUGGUGGUUCGCCACCGGCUAUUGCUGAGAAGUCCUCCAAACCGCCCCAUUUAGAGGAAGGAGAAGUCGUAACA
rnacentral:rRNA from 1 species